rnacentral:lncRNA from 1 species
GGCCAAGUUCAGGGCUGGUGCUCUCGUUCAGAUAGAUUUAGCUGGUGGUGCAGAGAUCCGUGAGCUUGCUUUUACAGGACUUUAAUGAUAUAUAAAAGCAGCACGAGGUGCUCCUGACUGUGGAUUAAUUUGGAGAUGACUUUCUCUGUUGAAGAGUAGCAAGACUCUCGCGAGUUCUUAAAAAUGCACUUGUUUGGUAUGAGAAUGAAAAGCAGUGGCUGAAGAACCAAUCUUCAAUGGGCAAGCCUUCUCUGGGUCUUGCUCCGUCACCGAGUCUGGAGUGCAGUGGUAUGAUUAUGGCUUACUUGAACUUCUGGGCUCAAGCAAUCCUCCCACCUCAGCCUCCAGAAUAGCUGGGACUAUAAGUGUGGAUCAUCAACCCUGGCUAAUUUUUUGAUUUUUUAUAGAGACGAGGUCUCACCAUGUUGCCCAGACAAGUCUUUAACUCCUGGGCUCAAGCAAUCCUCCCACCUCAGCCUCCUAAAGUGCCGGGAUUACAGGCAUGAGCCACUGUGCCUGACUUCCAGAUUUGCAUCUUAAAGGGCUGUUCCAUUGAAUGUCUGUUCUAACACGUGCCAUUUGGGAUCCCUUGGAAUCUUCAUGUACAGAACUGGUUGCUGCCUCGUUGAGUCGGUGGGGACAGAAUAGCUCCUGGUUGACAGCAUGGGUUGUGCAGAAGGACGGAUCCUGCAGACAUCAAUAUCUGGCUUUGAGUGGCACAAAGAAAUAAAGGAAUGUGGAUUCAGACCUCACUGGGAUGCUUGGCAAUUCUAAUUCUACCCCAGACUGCAAAUGGACACACAACUGUUGUGACUUUUGUUGAAGAGGAGAAGGAUGGGUGAGCAUGUGACGUUGGGAAAUUGUAUUUUCUUCUUCGAGUUCUUCUGUUUCCGAAUAUUUAAUCCUACUGUUUUCUUCUUUAGUGAAGGUCUCUUUAGUCAAUAAUCUCUUUGCUGAAAUUGCUUCGGGCAGCACAGAAGCUGGAUUCAGAAGCACACAGGUCUGGGGAUGCAGGCUUCGGCCAGCCUGAUGCAAGGAAAGACUGCCAUCUCGUGGUCAGCUCAAUCCUGGCACCUUGGUGAGGGACCAGGCUGCAGAAAACCAGGCUUGGGGAGGAAACGGUGCUGCAAACUGGAUUUCUGCCGGACAGUGUGGAUGCCCUUAGAAAACACCCAGAAAAGAGCUGAGUGCCCCCCAAGACUUGCCCUGAAUUCUUUCAUGUGCAAUAUCCGAAAACCCUCUCUUGGGGCCUGGAUCAGGACCCCUUUCCUAUAACAUCUUUCUGGCGACAACAAAGGGACAAUGGUGUGGAAUCCCCCUUCCCAAAUGCUACUUUUAGGCUGUUUCCCAUAUAAGGUUCAUGACCCCCAGUGAGGAUGAAACUGCCUGCAAGGUUUGUCUUCUCUCCUGUUCACUGGUUACUCAGCCAGGCUGAUUCAUGGGCUUCUCAAAGGAGCUUGUUUAUCAGAAGCUUGUCUAAGACACCACGUCUUCCAGAAAAUCUCACCUGAGUCACCAACAGAUUCCUCUAAGAGUCUGUAAGCCACUCCUGACCAGCAGGAAACCCCAACAGAGGCAAAGAAUAGGAAAUUAAAUAUUUCGUCAAGAAAAAAUGAGAGGCUGGGUGCGGUGGCUCAUGCCUAUAUCCCAGCACUUUAGGAGGCCUAAGCGGGCGGAUCAUUUGAGGUCAGGAGUUUGAGACCAGCCCGGCCAACAUGGUGAAACCCUGUCUCUACUAAAAAUACAAAAACAAUUAGCUGGGCAUGGUGGUGGGUGCUUGUAAUCCCAGCUACUGGGGGAGGCUGAGGCGGGAGAAUCGCUGAAACCCAGGAGACAGAAGUUGCUGUGAGCCGAGACCACACCACUGCACUCCAGCCUGGGUGAGAGUGAGACUGUCUCAAAAAAAAAAAAAAAAAAAAAAAAAAAGCAAGAAAGCUCCCAUUUAGAUCACUCGGACAAAAGAUUUCUUUUUGUGCCAAAAUGUUCCACUAGGCUUCCAGUUUUUACCACAUAACUUGACAGUCAUGCAAGACUUAAGUGUAUUUUCAGCUAUCCUUUCUCUUUCAUUUAUUUCUGUUUAAUAAGCUCUGUCCAUUGAUUCUAGUUAGUACAUUAUAUAUCUUUUUAAUCACUUACCUGCAGUGAGCAUCUUUCCAUGUUGGUAAAUACCGGUGCUACUACUGUUACUACUGAGUACUUAUUCCAUGUCAAAUCCUCUGCCAAGCAUUUUCAAGCAUUGUCUCAUUGCCUUCUUGCCACAACCCUAUGAAGAGGCCGUGACUGUCCUCAUCCAAUGGAGGAGGAAGCUAAGGCUGAGAGCAAUUAACACAGCUGUGAGUGAACAGGUAGGAUUUAAAGCCAGGCAGUAUGAUUCCGGAGCCUACGCUUUUAAUCACUGUUAUUUUACUCUCCUCCACUCCCCAAAUAUACUGCAUUUUUUUUGUGUGAUUGUAUUGUAUUAUUCUGUUCUAGAUGUACUAUGAUUGAUUUCGUCCAUGCUGUAAUUACACUUCGGUUGGUUUUAGUUUUCACUACUACAAAUGGUGUUGCAACGAACGUCUUUGUGGGCAAAUCUUUACAGGUCAUGAAUGACCCUUUCCUUAGGACACAUAUUGCCAAGCUGAUCUCCACAAAGGUAGUACACGCCCAUCAUAUUGUACAAAAGUAUUCUUUGCCCUCCACCCUUGACACUGGGUUGCAUCUAUUUUUUAAUUAUUGCUGUUAGGAUAGAAGAACAAGGCUGACACAUUGUUGUUUCAGUUUGUAAGCUAGAACACUUCAUUGCACAUUAGCUGUAUUCCUUAGGUGUAUUUCUUGUUCAUGUCCUUUGCCCUCUGAGGUUUGUCUCUUUAUCACAGAUUUGAGAACUUUUUGUAUAUGUCUUAUAUUUUUAGAAUUAAUAAAUUUAGGGCAUAAACCCAAUAGAAAGAAAAACAGACUCAUUCUGUGUUUUGCAUAGCAUCUUACCUCCUAUCCUUCCUCCACAUUGAUAGUAAAGCAUAAGAAAUGAUUCCUGUGCCCAGAGGUUGAAAGCAGGUCCAUUUUAACAAAGUCACUUGGAAGCAUCCCCUUUCUCCAAAAGAAGCUCCCAGCUUCUCCUCCUGCUCUUCGGUCUCAGAGGAAGGGAAGAUGUUGGAGAGGAGCAUAAAAACUUACUUUGGGCCAGGCGCGGUGGCUCACGCCUGUAAUCCCAGCACUUUGGGAGGCCGAGAAGGGCAGAUCAUGAGGUCAGGAGAUCGAGACUAUCCUGGCUAACACAGUGAAACCUUGUCUCUACUAAAAAUACAAAAAA